CUGGUCCAACAAUUAUUGCCAUGGCAACAAAGGCUCUGUGACAUCUCUAGUAAGCUCAUUGUCUUCUGCCGUAUUAAACUUUAAUGGGUAGCUGGUAGACAAUUAACACUCUGGGAGGGCUCAAACCACAUAACCAAAUGUGCCAAGAUAAUCCUGAGCUCACUCAUUGUCAGUCCUGAAGAUUUUCCUCAGAGAAUCUUUCAUCUCUUUGCUCCUGAGACUAUAUAUUAGAGGAUUACAGAGUGGUGUUAUCACAGAAUAGAACAAGUGGAUUUUUAUCUGAGAUCUACAACUUAAGAAGAAUAUAAGUGAUGUAUAUUCUCUUCUACUCUUCAUGUAUGGAAUAGAGGGGCUUGCACAGUAGUAAGAAAAAAAUGGCUUAGACCCACAGGAACAAAGAAACAAGACAGGAGUUAGAUGCAGAGGAGAGAUUUCAACAAAAGUUUGGAAAAGAUGCUAACGGUAGCAUAUGAGUCACAGACAGAAUAUUGGCACCUUUGUUUAAGAAACUGAAUGUUAAUGUCACAUCUGCCUUCGGAGAUUACAAAUGAAAUGGUUACCUCUCUACUGGAACCCUGACCAGAAGCCUGCCAAUUAGUAAGCUGGCUUAAGAGAUCAAUCUAAAAUUUACAUAAGGCUUUUGAAAAAAAGAGAAAAGUCAGCCUUUAAAAAAGCCAAAAGGAAACUGGUGGAAUUAGAGGUAAUUCAG
rnacentral:lncRNA from 1 species